rnacentral:rRNA from 1 species
UACGUAGGGUGCAAGCGUUGUCCGGAAUCAUUGGGCGUAAAGAGCGUGUAGGCGGUCCGGUAAGUCCGCUGUGAAAGUCGGGGGGCUCAACCCUCGAAUGCCGGUGGAUACUGUCGGGCUAGAGUCCGGAAGGGGCGAGUGGAAUUCCUGGUGUAGCGGUGAAAUGCGCAGAUAUCAGGAGGAACACCAAUGGCGAAGGCAGCUCGCUGGGACGUGACUGACGCUGAGACGCGAAAGCGUGGGGAGCAAACAGG